GGCGAGCAGCCCCGGGGCUGUGCGGAGCUGACCCUGCUCCCCGCCCGCCCUGGGGGCGCAGGACCCGGGCAGGGAAAUCGGGAUGCUGAGAGAUAAAGAAGCUUUUCAAAAGCCCAGAGAGCAGCUCAGCCUGCAGAUCCGGGUGACAAGCUUCAGUAAACAAAGCCAAAGUGAGUUGAAGAUGGAACAUCUGAGAUCUUAAACUUAUGGCUCUUCAAGGACAUGGG
rnacentral:lncRNA from 12 species